rnacentral:snRNA from 1 species
AGCUUUGCGCAGUGGCAGUAUCGUAGCCAAUGAGGUUUAUCCGAGGCGCGAUUAUUGCUAAUUGAUUAAGUAGUCAUCGACAGCAGUUCCUAUCACCUGGGCAAGUGAUCAUUUUUCUUGUAUUUAAA